rnacentral:rRNA from 1 species
UACGUAGGGCGCAAGCGUUGUCCGGAAUUAUUGGGCGUAAAGAGCUCGUAGGCGGCUUGUCACGUCGGAUGUGAAAGCCCGAGGCUUAACCUCGGGUCUGCAUUCGGUACGGGCAGACUAGAGUGUGGUAGGGGAGACUGGAAUUCCUGGUGUAGCGGUGAAAUGCGCAGAUAUCAGGAGGAACACCGAUGGCGAAGGCAGGUCUCUGGGCCACUACUGACGCUGAGAAGCGAAAGCAUGGGGAGCGAACAGG